rnacentral:rRNA from 1 species
GGAAGGUCCGGGCGUUAUCCGGAUUUAUUGGGUUUAAAGGGAGCGUAGGCCGGAGAUUAAGCGUGUUGUGAAAUGUAGACGCUCAACGUCUGCACUGCAGCGCGAACUGGUUUCCUUGAGUACGCACAAAGUGGGCGGAAUUCGUGGUGUAGCGGUGAAAUGCUUAGAUAUCACGAAGAACUCCGAUUGCGAAAA